rnacentral:lncRNA from 1 species
AUAGGGGUGAAAACUGUCAAAUACGGUCAGAUUUUAGACAAAAACAUGUCCGCAUCCAUAUAUUUUUUUCGAAUGUGAAUUCGGAUACGGAUAUGUGUCGUUUGCUAAAUUUUCAUUAUUAUAUCUGUUUUAAAGCGAAUUCAGAAUUAGAUACGAGUCAGAUUUAUAUUGAGAUAUUAUAUAUAUUCGGAUAAUAAUAUGGACUAGUAAGCAUAUAUAAAUAUGAAGUAAAAAUUGUGCAAAUAAAACACACAGAUCAAUUAAAGGUUCGUGUUUAAACUUCAUAUACCUUUAUUUUAUUCAGUAAUAUUUUUUAAUAUUUUAAUAAUUAUAAAAUAUAAUUUUAAUAUAAAACUUAUAGUAAAAUAA